rnacentral:rRNA from 1 species
GAUGAACGCUGGCGGCGUGCCUAAUACAUGCAAGUCGAGCGAACGGACGAGAAGCUUGCUUCUCUGAUGUUAGCGGCGGACGGGUGAGUAACACGUGGAUAACCUACCUAUAAGACUGGGAUAACUUCGGGAAACCGGAGCUAAUACCGGAUAAUAUUUUGAACCGCAUGGUUCAAAAGUGAAAGACGGUCUUGCUGUUACUUAUAGAUGGAUCCGCGCUGCAUUAGCUAGUUGGUAAGGUAACGGCUUACCAAGGCAACGAUGCAUAGCCGACCUGAGAGGGUGAUCAGCCACACUGGAACUGAGACACGGUCCAGACUCCUACGGGAGGCAGCAGUAGGAAAUCUUCCGCAAUGGGCGAAAGCCUGACGGAGCAACGCCGCGUGAGUGAUGAAGGUCUUCGGAUCGUAAAACUCUGUUAUUAGGGAAGAACAUAUGUGUAAGUAACUGUGCACAUCUUGACGGUACCUAAUCAGAAAGCCACGGCUAACUACGU